rnacentral:rRNA from 1 species
CCUACGGGGGGCAGCAGUGAGGAAUAUUGGUCAAUGGCCGGGAGGCUGAACCAGCCAAGUCGCGUGAGGGAAGACGGCCCUACGGGUUGUAAACCUCUUUUGUCAGGGAGCAAGGUGCAGGUCGGGACCUGCUGUGAGAGUACCUGAAGAAAAAGCAUCGGCUAACUCCGGGCCAGCAGCCGCGGUACUACGGAGGAUGCGAGCGUUAUCCGGAUUGAUGGUGCUUAAGGGGUGCGCAGGCGGAGGCACAAGUCAGCGGUAAAGUCACGGGGCUCAACCCCGCUCCGCCGUUGAAACUGUGUCGCUUGAGUGCGCGAAGGGUAGGCGGAAUGCGUGGUGUAGCGGUGAAAUGCAUAGAUAUCACGCAGAACUCCGAUCGCGAAGGCAGCCUACCGGCGCGCAACUGACGCUCAUGCACGAAAGCGUGGGUAUCGAACAGGAUUAGAUACCCGUGUAGUC